CUACGUUGCAAAAUACUCGGUACUUGGCUGGAGGUAUCCAAUGGACUUGUCCACCAGAGCGGACAACACAGUUAAUCUUUCCAUACGUCUCGUCAUGAUGUCCAUCAGCACUGCGAAACAAAAAACAGAUUAAUAAUAGGUGCUUGUCAGAAAAGUUGUGUGUAAAAGACCGAGGGAGACAUUAAACAUGAUAUACAAACCAAGUUCUGAUUACAAAAAUGAAAUAUUGUGUACUAAAUACUACACUUCUCAAAUAAAAAAGCCGAUAACACGACAACAGUACCUACAUGAUAAGUUUAUAAAUACAUAGUUGUUAUGUUGUUUUAUCUAUUCUACCAACCAUACAUUUUUAAUAUUAUUCAUUUUUAUUAAUUUUUACACUAUAACUAUGAUUUGUCAUCAACUGCUUUUUGUUACAAACACAAAUACUUAUUAACAAAUAGUUGUUAUGAUAAACAAAGGUUUGAGCUCAAUUUUCGUAAGUACGUGAAUUAUUAUAAUCGAAAAUAUUGUUUGUACAUUUUGUAAAUGAUUUUUUUUUUUAUGAAAAUGCCACUAAUUUAUGGAUAUUACUUAGCUAUUAAGACCUAAAAAGUAUUUGAUAAAAAUUAAGUAAAAAUAUUCUAUUAAUUUAACUAAAAUGUUAAGUAUACUAAAAAAAUAAUAUAAAAAUAUCAAUAUUAUAUUUAUGAUAU